rnacentral:rRNA from 1 species
GACGAACGCUGGCGGCGUGCCUAAUACAUGCAAGUCGAGCGGACGAAUCGAAAGCUUGCUUUUGAUUCGUUAGCGGCGGACGGGUGAGUAACACGUGGGCAACCUGCCCUGUAGACGGGGAUAACACCGAGAAAUCGGUGCUAAUACCGGAUAACACGAAAUGUCGCAUGACGUUUCGUUGAAAGACGGCGCAAGCUGUCGCUACAGGAUGGGCCCGCGGCGCAUUAGCUAGUUGGUGCGGUAACGGCUCACCAAGGCGACGAUGCGUAGCCGACCUGAGAGGGUGAUCGGCCACACUGGGACUGAGACACGGCCCAGACUCCUACGGGAGGCAGCAGUAAGGAAUCUUCCGCAAUGGACGAAAGUCUGACGGAGCAACGCCGCGUGAGCGAAGAAGGCCUUCGGGUCGUAAAGCUCUGUUGUUAGGGAAGAACAAGUAACGCAGUAACUGGCGUUACCGUGACGGUACCUAACGAGAAAGCCACGGCUAACUACGUG